CUGCUUGACGCCCUACGAGAGAACUCCGUCGUCGGCCCCAUCGGCAUGGCGGUCGGACCCGAAGGUCCAGAUCCUGUAGAAUUUAUUACCAGCAUUAUCUUGGCGACCUGACCUUUGAUCUAGACCGCAUGGGAGACUUCACUCGGUAACCCGACCCCCAACGACGCCCUGGGCUUCAAGUGGCAGGCGGCGAUCGAGGACGACCUCCGCUAUCUCGCCCUCACGCCCUCGCCCGCCAUGGAGGCCGACAAGCGACAGGAGGUGCGGAAUUUCCACGCUUCUUUGCCAACAAAAAGGACCACGUCCUCCAUCCUGAACGCAUCGUCUCGGGGAAGAAAUCCUCGCCACGUCCUUCCCAGGAUGAGCUGUAACUCCUUUGCGUGUAGUAUUCAGUCAUUACAAUCAUUUAGUCAUUCUUAAUAACAGUGAAAGGCUGUGAACAUUUUUAUUCAGGAUAUAUAUGUAUUUCUGUAAAUGUAUUUCUUCAGGAAACACUCUUUUUGCGAAUGUUAUGAAUCCUGAUAAGAAUUUGAUGAGGACAAAAGUUA